GGACCGGCCCCGUCGGGCUCCGCCUCGCCCUGCCGCUGAUGUCAGCGGCACCGCGGCGGCCCCGUCGGGGCGAAGCGGCCAGCGGGCGGCGCGGUGCUGCGCGGUGCUGCGCGGUGCUGCGCGGUGCUGUGCGGUGCUGUGCGGCCAAGCGGCUGCCCGGGCUGCUCCCCGCUGCCGGGCCGGGAGCGCAGGGCGCUCGCCGUGUCCCGUCUCCUCACUCCUUCCACCUUUUUUUUUUUUUUUUUCCUGCUUCUCCCUUUAGGGCAGCGGCGUUUUUGCUUGUGCCUGAGCAAAGCGUGAGGAUAAGGACUCCGGGAUAAGCGUUGGUUUGACGCAGAUGCCCGUUAGGACAACGGAGACCGCGGGGUGAUGUCAACGAGGGAGCCGCUCCCGCAUCGCGUUCCUGCGGCUCCUUCUCCACACCUUGCCUUCCCGUCCUUUCCGGGCACCCACGGCCACCGGAGGCUCGCUCCACCCUCCUAAGGGGAGAAUAAACAGAAUCACACAGAAUCUCAGAAUCAUCUAGAUUGGAAGAGACCUUCAAGAUCACCUAGUUCAACCUCUGACCUAACACUAACAAGUCCUCCACUAACCUAUAUCACUAAGCUGAUCACAGACUGCUGUUGGAAAUGACCAAAGAUGUCUGCUGAGAAGAAUGGAGCAAAACAGCUGAAAAAGACUAUUUGGGGAUAUCAUCACUUGGGCUUGAGAACAAAACAAAACCAUGCAAAAUAAGAGAAUAAGUGGGAAGUUUAAAAAAUCCUCCAGCUCAGUGAUAACACUACUGUAAGAGCAGCAGGUCUGCUUACCUUUAAAUGAAGGCAAGCAUUCGGUGCUCCACUCAGAUACUAUUUGCUGACAGCAGUGAGACUUAACCUUAGCAGGGGUGAAUCUGGCUUUGUAAAAAAGUCUCUUUCCUCCUUGAUUUCUUCUGCUUGGUCUGGCAGAAACUAGGCUAGUAAUCACUGGGCAGGAAAAAAAAUAAUUACCGGAUUUGUCACAGAUUAGCUUUCACCCUUUAGGGAGUUAUGUUUGGAGCAGUAUGUUCUGUUCUUCCCUUGCUGGGUCUGUUUCUUUGGGAAAGGGGAAGAUAGACACCACUGGUGACCUAGCAUUCCUUGUGUAGAUGGAAAUACACAUACAAAAAGAUGAGAACAGAGAAACAUGGGUUCUGGAUUUCUUCCAAGUGGAAGUAAAAGCACGAGUUCCAAUUUAAUUUUGUCUCUUUUUAGCAGUAUUGACAUGAUUUUGGAAUUUGACUUUUUUUUCCCAAUUGUUCUUUAUGCAUUAUUUCAAACGAUGUGGACACAAGCACUGUAAAACCCUGCAUAGACACAAGCCCAGCAAUUUCAUGGCUAUUUGCCUAGCUGUGCUUGUGAUGAACUCCCUGUGUGCUUUGCAAUUCUUACUGAAGGUGUAAAUUUUAUAGGUUCAGUGAAGGAGAGCUUUAAACUUGCUCCGUGUGAGGUUGCCACAUUGGAUAUGCCACUUGCUUUCCUGGGGAUCUUCAAUGAGACGUUCUCCCAGAAUAGCUGUAUCAGUGGUAGUGUAGGUACUCAGCCUAGAAAACAAAUCAAUGCUAGAGAGCUGUAAGCAACCAAAGCAUAUGCACAUUUCUAUGUACCCAAAGGUUUAGCUGAAUACAGAGCCAUGAAUGCAGAAUCCAGGAAACAGUCAAAAUAGUCUAGCACAUGCCCAGCUUGCUUUUGUGGUAUCUGUGUAGCAGUACAGCUUGGAGUCUAAGCAAUCAUGCUCAUCUUCCAUUGCUUACCUAUAGGGCACCGAGAAAAUCACUCCAUCUCUGUGUCUAAUGUGUCAGGGUUGUGCUCAUAGGCCUGUAAGACAAAAGGAGAAAGGCUGCUGAAUUUGUGACCUGCUUGAAAUACAUAAAGCCACAUGCCAUAUGCUGCUGUGCACCCCAUGCACAAGCUUUGCCUUCUGCAGUUUCAGGGCAGUCAUUUUUGUAGUGUCUGAAGAAGGCUGUGAGUCAGGUAAUGUGCAAACUGAGAGCUGAACUGUGCUUAACACAUCAGGCACAGCAGCCAUCUUCCACAAUCAGUAAGUAGGUUACUAAAUUGCAUUAAAUUCUCACUGAGCAGGUCUUUAAUUAAACUUUUAAUGCAGUCCUCAAGCGUAUGCAUAUGGAGUUACAUCAUUAAUGACAACUCUUCUGUUUCAGCUUUAACGUAUCUAUCAGAUCUGAUUGGAAAAUCACAAUAGCUUUUUCUAUUUGAUUGAGCAUGCUGUAGUUGAGUUUAGCUGCUAAAGGCUACUGAUUUUCUCACCACAAUUUAGCUGUAUACAAGGUAAUGCUGGGAAUCUGUAGGUUCAGUUUAGUCUUGCAGUUAGUUAUCAUUAUCAGUUAUUGUAUCUCUAUAGUUAUGUAUUUUUAUCACCACAAAGAACAGAGAAAGAUUUCUGAGGUACAGGCAACUCACACUCACAAGGAUAUGAAUUAUUCUAAGUAGUGGGGUUGGGGGGCGCACUUAGGUGAAUUAUUCCAACAUACAGAAAUCUUGGAAUAUGAAAUUUUAAUUUCCCUUAGCCCAUGGACACCAAGGUCUUAUUACUUUCUCCAUUUUUUUAUUCAAUCAUAUUGCCAGCUGAUUGCAAAGAGAGCUUUGCUAGCUGAGAGUGCAGUGAACGUUUCUGGAUUUUUCACUUGGUAGCUGUGCCUGCCUUACCUUUGAGAAAGCAACACAGGGAGGGGAGAUAGGGGGGUCAAGACAUCUUUUAAAAGCUGACCUGCAAAGAAUUUGUGUUAAAUUAGUUUUGUCUUGCUUUUGUAAAGUCCAUGAAUUUUUGAGGAAAUGAAAAGCACUAGGAGUUUUCAUUCCCUUUAACCCACUCUCCUUUGUAGAUCAUCUUGAAAAUUAAUUAUCAGGAGUACCAUGCCUGAUCUUCCUGAGCUGGCUGGCACAUUACUGGGAAUGCAAGGAGCUGGAUGCUGUUCACCAGCUAUUGUCAAGCCCAAGCCAAGAGUCACCAUAUAACAUGCUUCAGACUACCACACUUUAAAACCCAUUUUUUUUCAUGAUCUUUACCUUACCUAUUAAUUAUAUUGAUUGCUAGGGUGAUAUUUUCAAACAAUUGCAAAAAGCUAAGAUCUUUCUUCUACCUAAUCACAUGAGCCCAGGCACUGGGGCUAUCAAAAAGCAGGAAGCAGGAUAGUGUUGCUCCCUGGACUGGCCACAAUAAGGUGCUCAAAAAUUCACCAGAGUGGUGGGGAAGUAGUUUGACUUUAACCACUGCAUUGUUUCUCCAGAAUAUUCAUUAAAUGCUAGAAAUAAUUGUAAGUAUCAUACAAGAGAUGAAAAAGCAUAGGGUGAAGUUUUAGCUUCUCUCCAGCUUGCACUCUGCUUUUGAAUAUGAACUAUUUUGCUCUCCAUUUCUUACCAGAUUGUUUUAAAAGUAUGUAUUAGAGCUGCAGGCUUUGCUGCCACACUGACAAUAGGCAGCUCUGGAGGUAGAGUGAAGGGCAGAGGGACGAGUUUUGAGACUGAGCCUGAAUCACAGCCAAAAUUCUAUGGGAGGGGAAAGUAAUAGCAGUAGAUCUAAUUGAAGGCAUUCAGUAUUUUUUGUACAAUUAAUGGUUGGAUGGUGUUUAGCGUUAGAAUUUCUUUACUAUGCUGCUUCUUUUUUCUUUUUUCUUUUUUUUUUUAAUUUACAGUACUGUGCCCAACAUGCCUCAUUGUCCAGUUAGCUUGUUUGCAGCUUAUUUUGCAAGCAAAAUAAGCUUUAGUAAAAUACUGAAUGCAUAAUAUGUGUAAAAUAUCUGCCCAUGCAAACAUGUACUCUGAGAGCUUGUACUUACUGCUGAAAUGUUUAUGUUGCAUAAAUCAGACACUGUGAAGUCUUCCCUACUCAUCUGAGAUGUGUUUGGUCUCAGUCUGUGGUCUGCUUUGUGUUUGGUGGUGUUUCUAGCUCAUUUUUUGUGAUUAGAAAUACAUUCUUACUACAUUUUUUGGACACGGUCAAAAUGUCCUGCUCUAUAAGUAAAAUUAUUUUCUGCUUGAAUAAUUUCAGGCAGAAAUGUGUGUUAUGAUUAGGUCUGCAGACGUAGCUGACGAUGAAAGCAAACAUCUCCCACAGUAAAACAAGACUGAUCAGGCAAUCAAAUCCGGUAUUACAUGGCAAAAAUAUUUUAAUCCUCAACGAAAAUGUUUUCUAUGCAAGAAUCCCUAAGCUCAAAAUUAACUUAUAAAAACACUUCUACUGUUCUUAGCUAUCAUAAUUAGUCAUAAACAAGGAGAUACCACACAGUCAGAAAAGGCCUACCAUGAUACAGUGUUGGUUUCUAAAAGCACAUGACCUUGGACUUAAGAUAUAGUAGGUUUAUUUUUAACAUGAGCACACAGAUGUUUUCUGUAAACAGAGUAAUGCAAGGGAUUUACUUUGUAGUUUAUCAAAUGGUUACCAAAAUGUGAGUAGGUGGAACAAUAAGUGUGCUUUAAUAUCAAGUAUUUUAGGACAAGCUUGGCCAAAAUAUUUUGUCUUGUCACAAAAUAUUUUAAAACAACUUCAAAUUGAUAAUUCAGCAAUGCUGGCAUUCUUGUGGUUUGUAUAAUGCAUACACAGACAGAACAAGACAUUUUACAGGACAUGGAUAGCUUAGGUGGUUUUAAAUGAUAUAGAGAGCGUGUUAUGGUGUAGUGCAGAAUGAAACUGUUUCCAAACCAGAUCUCUUCUUUCUGUAAAUUGUCCUUUUCUUUUAGACCAGAUAAACUGUUAAUGUUUCUGUCAUUAAAACUUCACUUUGUCAGA